ACGCUUAGGAAAAUAGAAAAGAACCUACAUGAUUAUCGGGGCAGGUCCCCCGAUAUCUGGCGCCCACGUGGUCUUUCUUUUUUCCUAAGUGCAUGAGGGAACCCGAUUCCCUUUGGUAGGUGCGGUGAAACAUCAAUCGGCUUGGUCCACAGAUAAGCGUGUUCAACUCCCCGACGAGUGGACAAAAUAUGAAACACCAAGAAAAAGAGAAGGAAAAAAAGGAGGAAACAACCACAUAUGUCACCUUUCCAAGAGGGACUGAAACUGGGCUGACCCUUUUGAUUUCCAAGCUCAGCGUUUUGGUGUAAGGCGGCCAAAGAAGGAUGCGGAGCCCAGCACUGUGAAGCCUACAAAAACAUUGAUGCGCUGGCUUGGGGAUUUGAAUUUGAACAUCUUUCACACUAAGUUCAGACUCAUGAAACCAAUCUUCAGAUGCUCUGUAAACCACAUAAUAAAGAGUUUGGAAAUU
rnacentral:lncRNA from 10 species